UACGGAGGGUGCAAGCGUUAUCCGGAUUCACUGGGUUUAAAGGGUGCGUAGGUGGGAAUGUAAGUCAGUGGUGAAAUCUCCAAGCUUAACUUGGAAACUGCCAUGGAUACUAUCUGUCUUGAAUAUUGUGGAGGUGAGCGGAAUAUGUCAUGUAGCGGUGAAAUGCUUAGAUAUGACAUAGAACACCAAUUGCGAAAGGCAGCUCGCUACACAUAUAUUGACUCUGAGGCACGAAAGCGUGGGGAUCAAACAGG
rnacentral:rRNA from 1 species